AAACUGUCUACUUCCAUCUCAAAUUGAGCAUAUGCAUUUCAGCUCCAAUAGGAUUCUUAUUUUGGUAACUGAAUUUUAUAAACUUACUCAUCUCAUGAUAAGUUCCAAUGAAUCUUGAGUGCCACCACAUCAGGGGUUGAAAUCUCUUUCAUAUUGUUGGAGAAUAUACUUACUUUCCAUUUUUUGAUCACAUCAAAUCAUAUAACGGGAAAUGAUUGAUUGAGCAAGCAAAAAAUUGAUUGAUGGGGUAAAUCAAGAAUUGACUGUCUAGAAUAUUACCUUUCAUAAUGUCUA
rnacentral:misc_RNA from 1 species